UCUGGGAUGUAAUUGAGAAUAAAGUAUUUAAGUACAAUCAUCUUUAUUUGGUACAAGAAGGCAUAGUAACAGCUACUACUAUCCUAAUGGUCUCAAGACCUAAGACUUUGACUCCAAGCUAGGAGUAAGAAUGAGAAUGCAGACAUAGUGGGGAUAAGAUUCUCUCUUCUUCCUCCCCCAUCCUUCUCGAUUUCUUCAGCCACAAGACUCCAAAUUUCCAGCUAUGGUAUCUGCAAAUUAGCACAAGAAUGGGGUUAGAAGAUGACUCACAAAUAAAGAGGAACCAAGACAAGAGAGCUUAGUAGAAUGAGCCUCUACACAAGCCCAAUAUAGACAUGAGCAAGAUUCUAGUUUUCCAUCGAUCAAGGCUGAGGAAACAGCCAAGAGAGAGACAGCCACACAUACAUCAAAGUAGUAAGAUUAACAUGAACAUGAAGCUCAAAAGAGGUAGAGCUGGCAGCCCCAAAAUAGGAGCCUUUGCCUCCAAGUCUCAAGCACAAACUGCCAAAAUGGAAGCCUAUAUAAACAGCCCCAAUCUCCUUCUCCUCCCCUCAUUCUCAACACUAUAAGAUCACUAAAUAUUCAAGAGAAUAGCAAGGAAGGGAGGAGGAGCAAGGAGGAGAGUUUGAGGCAGGGCAUCGGUCCCAUCCAAGAGGAAUCAUCAAAGUGAGGUUGAACGUCAAGAGGAUGGAGAAAUGAUCGGAGUCGAUGCUACUAAAUAAUCCAGUGGAUCUUUUCACGAUUCGUGUCUUCAUACACGAAGUCGUCUAGUAUGGACUUAUUCCGCUGCUCUUUUGUGAAGUGAGACAUCUUAGAAUCUCACCUUCGAACUCUGAUUUAUUGAUGUAAUAUUUAUUCUAGUUCUAAGACCAUGUAAUGGUACAUUUGGCUUCUAUUCUAUGAUAUGAUCGACUUGGCCUU